CAUUAUACUUUUGUUUCUGAAGGUGAUGAACGAGGAAAUAACAGUAGGAGGAAGAGAACUCAAGUCUGCACUAUGCUAUAAGGAUGUGACCUUGCUGGGGAGUUCAAGUUGGAUAUGGCUGGAGAGUAUGAUGUGUCAAUGUUUUUAUAAACCCGAAGUCAAUAGGAGGAGAAGUUAUUCAAUUUGAACAAGUUGCAAUUUCCAUGCACCUUGUGAAUGUAUUUUUAUACUAUGCACAGUGUUUAAUGUGUCAUGUAUUUUUAUACUAUGCACAGUGUUUAAUGUGUCAUGUAUUUUUAUACUAUGCACAGUGUUUAAUGUGUAAUGUAUUUUUAUACUAUGCACAGUGUUUAAUGUGUAAUUUUUUCUGCUCUAGUAUGUUGUGUUUUCCAGUGGAAAUAAAGCUUGUACAGUAUAUUGUAAAUAAUUGUUGGAAAUGUUGUUUCUUUUCUCUGGAAGAGAAAUUGUGUUGUUUAGAUUACACAGCCGUUGUGUUUCAACGGUCUGUCUCAUGAUGGUCAUUGAUCUACCUGAGCUUUAGCUGGGUGUUUUGUGUCAUGUAGAAGUGGCCACAGUGGGGGUACUGCUCAUUGUAAGGUUCUGCUUUACUUUUUUUAGUCAACCUUGUGUUCUUUUUCUUUGUGUUCUUGAACCAUAGCCCUGUUCCUUUGUGUUCUGGAACAUAGCCCUGACUUUCAUUUUCUUCAUUGAUUUCACCUGUGUUCGUUUCUCACCUGGUCUCAUCAGCUCCAUAUUUAGUUCAGUUCUUUCUGUUUGUAUGGUUGUGAGGUAUUGUUUGUUUUUGACUGCCUACCUGUGUUUGACCAUUGCCUGUGACCACGAUUCCUGCCUUCUGCAUAAACAUCUCCCGCGCUCUGCGCGUUAAUCUACA